UACGAAGGGGGCUAGCGUUGUUCGGAUUUACUGGGCGUAAAGCGCACGUAGGCGGAUCUUUAAGUCAGAGGUGAAAUCCCAAGGCUCAACCUUGGAACUGCCUUUGAUACUGGGGAUCUUGAGUCCGGGAGAGGUGAGUGGAACUGCGAGUGUAGAGGUGAAAUUCGUAGAUAUUCGCAAGAACACCAGUGGCGAAGGCGGCUCACUGGCCCGGUACUGACGCUGAGGUGCGAAAGGCGUGGGGAGCAAACAGG
rnacentral:rRNA from 1 species